GGAUUUCGCAAUCACGACUACAUAACACUGCAGCAGCUUGGUUCACUGUUGUAGCUGUGUGGGAGAAGUUACAGUACAACCAGAAAUUAUUGAGAAUUUAAAGAUGUUGAGUGCUGUGGGUCUGGACUACAGCGGAGCUGGCCAGGAAGAGGAGGGCGCUCCACUGGAUGACUUGUGGCCACUGACCCCAUCUAGGGUUUUUUCCGUUUGAAGUUCAAAUUCAAUAGAUCUGUAUGAUCUGAUUAAAUGUUUUUCCUUUA